GCCUCCUGCCGUCACGCUGGGGUUGAGACCUCACUGAGCCCCCUCCUCCACGGCCGGCUCCUGACGGCCCGAGCAACCAAAGACGGCGGGCGCCCCCGUGGGCAAGGUGCAGGACGGUCCGGACGUGCCUGAUGGAAAUCCUCUAUUAGUUCCCAGGAGAGGACAUCCCGGGCCGGGACCCAUGACCGUUUUUCAGGGCCAUAUCCUUCCCAAUCCACCAGGUAAUGGAGGCCGUCCCGUAGCCGUUUGGAAUCCAGCACAGCCGUGAUAGCGUAUGCCGGAACUCCAUCUAUCUCCAGCGGGGAGGGUGGAGUCGGGGUUGGCCGAGAUGGAUGAAGAGGGCUAGCAUGGACAGGCUUCAGAAGGGAUACGUGAAAUGCUGAGGAGAUACAAUAAUGUUGGGGUAAAAGCAGUCGGUAGGUUACCGGGUUGAUGCGAUGGGUGAUCUUGAACGGCCCGAUGUAUUGCGGCCAGAGAUUCCGGCAGGGCAGACGCAGCUUCAAGUCCCUCGUAGACAGCCACACCCGCUGACCCGGUUGGUAGAUGGGAUCGGGCCGUUGUCGCCGGUCUGCGAACAUCUUCUGCGUGCAGGCAGCCUGGCGGAGGUGACGAUGGGCGGUCUCCCAUACCUUGCCACUGCGCCUGAACCAGUCCUCCACGGCUGGCACUGGACCGGGCAUAGUAUCCCAGGGAAAAAACGGGGGCUGGUACCCCAAUACACACUGAAAAGGUGUUAGUCGUAAUGACGAGCGGAACAUAGAGUUCUGGGCAUAUUCCUCCCAGGCCACGUAACGGGACCAAUCAUGUGGAUGCUGAGAGCAGUAACUGCGAAGGUACUUCCCCAGUUCCUGAUUGAGUCUUUCGGUUUGGCCGUUGGUCUCCGGAUCAUACCCGGACGUCAGCUUCACCUUUAUCCCCAGGCAGUUGCAGAAUGCCCUCCAGACGUGGGACAUCUCUUCUGGAAGACCAAACUGACGGAACACUGGAGAAAACGACACUCCGCCAUUUCCAUGGCUGAGGGGAGGUUAGGCAGAGGUAUAAAUCUACACAUUUUGGAGAACCUGUCUAUCAAGACUAGAAUGGUGGUAAACCCUUCGGACACCGGUAAGUCAGUGAGGAAGUCCACCGCCACAUGGGACCACGGCCUCUGGGGAGUGGGAAGCGGCACCAACUCCCCGGCGGGGAGCUGACGGGGAGUUUUUGCUUGCGCACAGACUGGACAGGAGAGCACGUAGUCCUGCACGUCGGUGGCUAGCGAGUUCCACCAGUACUUCUGGGACAAGAGCCGAGUGGUUCGGGUAAUGCCCGGAUGUCCGAAUCCCAACGUUGUGUGGCUCCACUGGACGUGCUGAGGCCGCACUGACGCGGGGACGUAAGUCCGGUUGGGAGGUGCGUCAGGUGGCGCCGGUUCUGUGCGCAGCGCCUCCUGGAUGAAGGACUCAAGCUUCCAGUAAAUAGAUUUGCUGGGUGGCGCUUGGACAUAAUUCCCACUUAGUGGACCAUGUGUCAUGAUUAUAGCUUGUUCCAGCUCACAUGAAUCUUAGCUGCAUCAGGGGACAACAGAUAACAAAAUGACAACUCAAUCUCUAUAGGGUUCUGCCCCCCUGGGCCUUCAACAAGGUUAACAAGGCUCAUCCUCUUUCACAGGAAUAGAUGAUUACAGGCCCUUCGCCCUGUCUGACUUCUGUGCUCAUGAAAUCCUUUGAGAGGCUGGUGUGGACCCUGCAGAACGUCACAGUGCCCCUGGUGGACUUUAGCGCUGCUUUCAACACCAUCAUCCUGUCUCUGCUGCAGGAAAACUCCCAGCUGCACGUGCCCGACUCCACCUGCAAGUGGGCCACGGUGGCGCACAGAGUAGAGAUGCUGUUUAAAGAUUGGUGGUUCAAACCCCGACUCAGUGUCCCUGAGCAAGACCCCUAAUUGCUCCCUGGGCAAAAAUGUCAACCCCGUGGGAUAAAAUCUAAUGUAAGUCGCUUUGGAUAAAAGCGUCAGCUAAUUGACACGUAAUAUAAAAGUGGAUCACAGACUUCCUGUCUGACAGGAAGCAGAAGCAGACCAUAGGCACCAGUUCCCCCAAAGGCUGUGUUCUUUUCCCUGACACCACCCUCAUUGGACUGAUCUCUGGUGGGGAUGAGUCCGCCUACAGGUGGAGUCUGACCAUCUGGUGUCCUGGUGCAGCCAGAACAACCUGGAGCUCAACGCUCUAAAGACAGUGGAGAUGGUUGGGGAUUUCGGGCGGAACAGAGCCCCACCCUCCCCCAUCACCCUGUGUGACUCCCCCGUCACUAUUGUGGAUUCCUUCCAUUUCCUGGGCUCCAUCAUCACCCAGGACCUCAAGUGGGAGCUGAACAUCAGCUCCAUCACCAAGAAGGCUCAGCAGAGGUUGUUCUUCCUGAGGCAGCUGAAGAAACUCAACCUGCCAAAGACGAUGAUGGUCCACUUCUACACGGCCAUCAUGGAGUCCAUCCUCUGCUCCUCCAUCACCGUCUGGUACGCUGCAGCCACAGCCAAGGACAAGGGCAGGGUGCAGUGUGUCCUCCGCUCUGCAGAGAGGGUGAUCGGCUGCAAUCUGCCGUC
ensembl:lncRNA